AGGGAUAUAGCUCAGUGGGAGAGCACUUGCCUAGCAUGUGUGAGGCCCUGAGUUCAAUCCCUAGUAACAUUA
rnacentral:tRNA from 1 species